GGCGGACGGGGUGAGGAAUACAUCGGAAUCUACUCUGUCGUGGGGGAGUAACGUAGGGAAACUUACGCUAAUACCGCAUACGACCUACGGGUGAAGCAGGGAUCUUCGGACCUUGCGCGAUUGAAUGAGCCGAUGUCGGAUUAGCUAGUUGGCGGGGUAAAGGCCCACCAAGGCGACGAUCCGUAGCUGGUCUGAGAGGAUGAUCAGCCACACUGGAACUGAGACACGGUCCAGACUCCUACGGGAGGCAGCAGCA
rnacentral:rRNA from 1 species